CAGCUCUGCCCAGCAGCGGGGUCUGUUUUAUUUUAUUGAUGGAAAAGUUGAAGUUUUAACAGGGAGUCAGACCCACAAAUACACGUCGAGUCAGCAGCCGGCCAUCCUUGCCCACAAACAUACAAAGUGGUCACUGUCUCUAAGGUGCUGGGCCGAGUGUUUGGGGAUGAGAUAGCCAUCUCCGGGGGGUUCUCUCCAGCUCUGAAGAGGCCCCUCCAAGACACUGUGGCAUGAGGCUCCUCCACCAGACCUUGAACCCAAAGGAAAAGAUAGAGAAAGUGUCUCUGCAGAAUUCUUCUAAGGAACAGAAAAUACAUAUGGCUGUCUGGUGGACCUAACUAUAAACAUUGCCAUCACAUAAAUGAGAAGAAUUUUACAUGGAUAGAUGCUACUGGAAAUGUCAAUCAAGCCGACCAAUGCAGUGACAAAGAAAGAAAAGGAAAAAAUGCAUCCCCCAGCUACAUGCACAAAGACAAGAACAGUUUCUGCCAUUUUGAAGAUUAAUUUCUACUGAGGAGACUACAACCUGUAAAAGGAAAAUUGAGAUGGAAGGAAAUACCAACAGCUAGUGAGGAGGCUUCAUGAAAUGGGUACCACCUGAGGUGUAAUUUGUAAAAAUCAGCCCUUCUUUUUCCCCAUUGUUUAAUUACUAGCCUCCUAGUUGCCUAGAAGAGUUCAUCUGAUUCCCUAUCCAUUUAACAUUCCCAGAGAGGAGACCUGAGUCCUGGGGAAGAUGGGGCCCAUUAAAUUUGUUAAAACCCACAUGCAGAAAUAUGCACAUGUGCAAAUUUGCAGAUGGUCAAAUGAGUCCUACUCAAGUGUACAGACACAUUUAGAGCUAUCUGGAAUUAUUAGGACUUUUAGCUCUAACUUGAGAUAAGCAGAAUAAACUCUCUACUCAAAUGGGAACUAGUUGUGCUUUUCUAAAUCACCAAGUCAAAGGUCUUGAAGCUAGAUAUUCACAGGUGCUUUCUCAUGGCUUCAUUGUUAGUGUCUGAUGUUUAUGGCAAGUCACAUAAAUAAAAAUGAUGUUUUUAUUUAAAGCUAUAUAUACAUAUAUACUUACACACACAUAUAUAGUUCUUGCCAAAACUGGAGAACCAUUUUGAAACAUUCAAAAUGAAAUGACGUGUCAAAACAAUAAGAAAGUUUAUUAUAAUUAUAAUUAACAUAUAUGCAUAUGUAUAUGCAUAAA
rnacentral:lncRNA from 1 species